rnacentral:RNase_P_RNA from 2 species
CUAGAUAGCCGGAUGGUCGCUGUAUUAAUACAGAGGAAAGUCCGGGCUCCAUGGAGAAACAGUGCCGGAUAACGUCCGGCGGAGGAGACUUUAGGGAAAGUGCCACAGAAAAUAUACCGCCAUAAUUUUAUUAUUAAGGUAAGGGUGAAAUGGUGAGGUAAGAGCGCACCGCAUUACUGGUAACAGUAAUGGCAGGGUAAACCCCACUGGGAGCAAGACCAAAUAGAGGUAACGUAACAUUUGUUAAGUGUUCUUCACAUUAGUUGCCUGGGUAGGUUGCAUGAGGAUUAUGGUAACAUAAUUCCUAGAUGAAUGGCCAUCAGAUAAGAGUAAUCUUAUUUACAGAACCCGGCUUAUAGGCUGUCUAGCAAA